rnacentral:lncRNA from 1 species
CUUCACUGCUCGGAGCUAUUUCGAUGAAUAUAAAAUGAAGGGGCUGAGUUAGAGGAUUUCCAGAAUACCACCGGACUCUGUGCUCCCAGGAUGUAAAUAGUGCUAUGUUCAGAAAUAGAGACAAUGGAUGUGCAGCAAGUGAGAGAAAUGAAACAGUCAUGUGGAAAAACCCAAAGGUUUUUUGGCAGGCAUGGACGACCCUCUGUUCUUGUGGAUUUUGUGAAGGUUGACAUAUUGCUUGGGAGGACUACUAUGUCAAGGGUGCUGCCAAGAAUGGGGAGUGGAAGAAAUUGACAGGAAUCUACUUUCCAUUCAGCCAAGAGAAUCUUGGGUUUGUGCAGACUUAGCUAUCCUGGAGAGGAGAAUUACACAACUCUAUUGGACACUGUUUCAGUCAUCUUUGAUCUUUGACAAGUAAACCCCUCUGAGAUUUAGUUUCUUUGUUGCUAAAAUGAAUAUAAUUUUAUUAUAUCCAGACCCAUACUUUCUUAUUGUUGCUGUAAUAAUUUUCCCAAUUUUUAGGUUCCCAAUGUAGGCUUAAAACAGCCUGAAUGCAUUAGCGUACAGUUCUGGACAUCAGACUUCUAAAAUGAGUGGAGAGAGUUGAUUCUUUCUGGAAGGCUCAGGAGUAAAUGACUUCUCAGGCUUUCCCAGUUUUUAAAGGCCUGUCUGCAUCCCUUGGCUGGUGACCACCUUCCCCAGUCUCCGAUCCCUCAGUCCCUUCUGUGACUCUGACCCUCCUGCCUCUUUAGUAAGGACCUGUAAUUACUUGGGUCUCCUAUGGUAAUCCAGAAAAUCUUCCUGUCUAAAGAUUUUUAAUGACAUUCACAUAGUCUUUUUUCUCAUGCAAGGUAAUGUACGCCUAAGUUUGGGGGAUUGGGAUGUGGACAUCUGUGGGAAGCAGCUACCUGCCAAUGACGCCCCGUAUGCUUGUCGUAAAGAUGGUGUAGUCCUUGUAAAGGACUUACCACAGUGUUUGGCACAUGGAAAAGCAUGAAUAAAUGUUGCUGUUACCACUGCUUCUCUUUGGCCUCCCCUUUAUGGACGGAAUCUCCCAGUGACUGCCUGGA